GAUGAACGCUGGCGGCGUGCCUAAUACAUGCAAGUCGAGCGAACAGACGAGGAGCUUGCUCCUCUGACGUUAGCGGCGGACGGGUGAGUAACGCGUGGAUAACCUACCUAUAAGACUGGGAUAACUUCGGGAAACCGGAGCUAAUACCGGAUAAUAUAUUGAACCGCAUGGUUCAAUAGUGAAAGACGGUUGUGCUGUCACGUAUAGAUGGAUCCGCGCCGCAUUAGCUAGUUGGUAAGGUAACGGCUUACCAAGGCAACGAUGCGUAGCCGACCUGAGAGGGUGAUCGGCCACACUGGAACUGAGACACGGUCCAGACUCCUACGGGAGGCAGCAGUAGGGAAUCUUCCGCAAUGGGCGAAAGCCUGACGGAGCAACGCCGCGUGAGUGAUGAAGGUCUUCGGAUCGUAAAACUCUGUUAUUAGGGAAGAACAAAUGUGUAAGUAACUAUGCACGUCUUGACGGUACCUAAUCAGAAAGCCACGGCUAACUACGUG
rnacentral:rRNA from 1 species